rnacentral:rRNA from 1 species
GGUUAAGCGACUAAGCGUACACGGUGGAUGCCCUGGCAGUCAGAGGCGAUGAAGGGCGUGCUAAUCUGCGAUAAGCGCCGGUAAGGUGAUAUGAACCGUUAUAACCGGCGAUACCCGAAUGGGGAAACCCAGUGUGACUCGUCACACUAUCAUUAACUGAAUCCAUAGGUUAAUGAGGCGAACCGGGGGAACUGAAACAUCUAAGUACCCCGAGGAAAAGAAAUCAACCGAGAUUCCCCCAGUAGCGGCGAGCGAACGGGGAGGAGCCCAGAGCCUGAAUCAGCAUGUGUGUUAGUGGAAGCGUCUGGAAAGGCGCGCGAUACAGGGUGACAGCCCCGUACACAAAAGCGCAUGUGCUGUGAGCUCGAUGAGUAGGGCGGGACACGUGGUAUCCUGUCUGAAUAUGGGGGGACCAUCCUCCAAGGCUAAAUACUCCUGACUGACCGAUAGUGAACCAGUACCGUGAGGGAAAGGCGAAAAGAACCCCGGCGAGGGGAGUGAAAAAGAACCUGAAACCGUGUACGUACAAGCAGUGGGAGCCCCACCACUAAGCCAGUGGUGAACUCCACAUACGCAUCCUUUGCUGAGGAUACGGUUAACGGAGCGAAAGCGACGUUCAACCUCAAAAGAAGCAGAGGGGGCUUAGUGGUGGGGUGACUGCGUACCUUUUGUAUAAUGGGUCAGCGACUUAUAUUCUGUAGCAAGGUUAACCGAAUAGGGGAGCCGGAGGGAAACCGAGUCUUAAUUGGGCGUUAAGUUGCAGGGUAUAGACCCGAAACCCGGUGAUCUAGCCAUGGGCAGGUUGAAGGUUGGGUAACACUAACUGGAGGACCGAACCGACUAAUGUUGAAAAAUUAGCGGAUGACCUGUGGCUGGGGGUGAAAGGCCAAUCAAACCGGGAGAUAGCUGGUUCUCCCCGAAAGCUAUUUAGGUAGCGCCUCGUGAAUUCAUCUCCGGGGGUAGAGCACUGUUUCGGCUAGGGGGCCAUCCCGGCUUACCAACCCGAUGCAAACUGCGAAUACCGGAGAAUGUUAUCACGGGAGACACACGGCGGGUGCUAACGUCCGUCGUGAAGAGGGAAACAACCCAGACCGCCAGCUAAGGUCCCAAAGUCAUGGUUAAGUGGGAAACGAUGUGGGAAGGCCCAGACAGCCAGGAUGUUGGCUUAGAAGCAGCCAUCAUUUAAAGAAAGCGUAAUAGCUCACUGGUCGAGUCGGCCUGCGCGGAAGAUGUAACGGGGCUAAACCAUGCACCGAAGCUGCGGCAGCGACACUGUGUGUUGUUGGGUAGGGGAGCGUUCUGUAAGCCUGUGAAGGUGUGUCGUGAGGCAUGCUGGAGGUAUCAGAAGUGCGAAUGCUGACAUAAGUAACGAUAAAGCGGGUGAAAAGCCCGCUCGCCGGAAGACCAAGGGUUCCUGUCCAACGUUAAUCGGGGCAGGGUGAGUCGACCCCUAAGGCGAGGCCGAAAGGCGUAGUCGAUGGGAAACGGGUUAAUAUUCCCGUACUUGGUGUUACUGCGAAGGGGGGACGGAGAAGGCUAUGUUGGCCGGGCGACGGUUGUCCCGGUUUAAGCGUGUAGGUGUGUGUUCCAGGUAAAUCCGGUUCACUUUAACACUGAGGCGUGAUGACGAGGCACUACGGUGCUGAAGCAACAAAUGCCCUGCUUCCAGGAAAAGCCUCUAAGCAUCAGGUAACAUCAAAUCGUACCCCAAACCGACACAGGUGGUCAGGUAGAGAAUACCAAGGCGCUUGAGAGAACUCGGGUGAAGGAACUAGGCAAAAUGGUGCCGUAACUUCGGGAGAAGGCACGCUGACACGUAGGUGAAGUGAUUUACUCACGGAGCUGAAGUCAGUCGAAGAUACCAGCUGGCUGCAACUGUUUAUUAAAAACACAGCACUGUGCAAACACGAAAGUGGACGUAUACGGUGUGACGCCUGCCCGGUGCCGGAAGGUUAAUUGAUGGGGUCAGCGCAAGCGAAGCUCCUGAUCGAAGCCCCGGUAAACGGCGGCCGUAACUAUAACGGUCCUAAGGUAGCGAAAUUCCUUGUCGGGUAAGUUCCGACCUGCACGAAUGGCGUAAUGAUGGCCAGGCUGUCUCCACCCGAGACUCAGUGAAAUUGAACUCGCUGUGAAGAUGCAGUGUACCCGCGGCAAGACGGAAAGACCCCGUGAACCUUUACUAUAGCUUGACACUGAACAUUGAGCCUUGAUGUGUAGGAUAGGUGGGAGGCUUUGAAGCGUGGACGCCAGUCUGCGUGGAGCCGACCUUGAAAUACCACCCUUUAAUGUUUGAUGUUCUAACGUGGACCCGUAAUCCGGGUUGCGGACAGUGUCUGGUGGGUAGUUUGACUGGGGCGGUCUCCUCCUAAAGAGUAACGGAGGAGCACGAAGGUUGGCUAAUCCUGGUCGGACAUCAGGAGGUUAGUGCAAUGGCAUAAGCCAGCUUGACUGCGAGCGUGACGGCGCGAGCAGGUGCGAAAGCAGGUCAUAGUGAUCCGGUGGUUCUGAAUGGAAGGGCCAUCGCUCAACGGAUAAAAGGUACUCCGGGGAUAACAGGCUGAUACCGCCCAAGAGUUCAUAUCGACGGCGGUGUUUGGCACCUCGAUGUCGGCUCAUCACAUCCUGGGGCUGAAGUAGGUCCCAAGGGUAUGGCUGUUCGCCAUUUAAAGUGGUACGCGAGCUGGGUUUAGAACGUCGUGAGACAGUUCGGUCCCUAUCUGCCGUGGGCGCUGGAGAACUGAGGGGGGCUGCUCCUAGUACGAGAGGACCGGAGUGGACGCAUCACUGGUGUUCGGGUUGUCAUGCCAAUGGCACUGCCCGGUAGCUAAAUGCGGAAGAGAUAAGUGCUGAAAGCAUCUAAGCACGAAACUUGCCCCGAGAUGAGUUCUCCCUGAGACUUUAGGUCUCCUGAAGGAACGUUGAAGACGACGACGUUGAUAGGCCGGGUGUGUAAGCGCAGCGAUGCGUUGAGCUAACCGGUACUAAUGAACCGUGAGGCUUAACCUU